rnacentral:siRNA from 1 species
CAGAACGGAUGUGAAUUUGUUCUA